rnacentral:rRNA from 1 species
AGAGUUUGAUCCUGGCUCAGAGCGAACGCUGGCGGAAUGCUUUACACAUGCAAGUCGAGCGGCAGCGCGGGGGCAACCCUGGCGGCGAGCGGCGAACGGGUGAGUAAUGCAUCGGAACGUACCCCGUAGUGGGGGAUAACCCGGCGAAAGCCGGGCUAAUACCGCAUAUGCUCUACGGAGGAAAGUGGGGGACCCGCAAGGGCCUCGCGCUAUGGGAGCGGCCGAUGUCCGAUUAGCUUGUUGGUGGGGUAAUGGCUUACCAAGGCGACGAUCGGUAGCUGGUCUGAGAGGAUGAUCAGCCACACUGGGACUGAGACACGGCCCAGACUCCUACGGGAGGCAGCAGUGGGGAAUUUUGGACAAUGGGGGCAACCCUGAUCCAGCCAUGCCGCGUGCGGGAAGAAGGCCUUCGGGUUGUAAACCGCUUUUAGCUGGGAAGAAAAGGCACGGGUGAAUAGUCCGUGUUCUUGACGGUACCGGCGGAAUAAGCACCGGCUAACUACGUGCCAGCAGCCGCGGUAAUACGUAGGGUGCGAGCGUUAAUCGGAAUUACUGGGCGUAAAGCGUGCGCAGGCGGUUCGUUGUGUCGGAUGUGAAAGCCCCGGGCUCAACCUGGGAAUGGCAUUCGAAACUGGCGGGCUGGAGUGUGGCAGA